UACGUAGGGUGCGAGCGUUGUCCGGAAUCAUUGGGCGUAAAGAGCUCGUAGGCGGCUUGUCGCGUCGGAUGUGAAAGCCCGGGGCUUAACUCCGGGUCUGCAUUCGAUACGGGCAGGCUAGAGUGUGGUAGGGGAGAUCGGAAUUCCUGGUGUAGCGGUGAAAUGCGCAGAUAUCAGGAGGAACACCGGUGGCGAAGGCGGAUCUCUGGGCCAUUACUGACGCUGAGGAGCGAAAGCGUGGGGAGCGAACAGG
rnacentral:rRNA from 1 species